UGUCCAUAUAUAGGGGAUGCAACUGAAGUUAUUCCUGGAUCGAGACCCUGGAUGGCACUAAUUAAGAAUAACUCUACGGAUAAACCACGUUAUUGUAUUGGGACUCUAAUAACGGAUCAAUUCGUUUUAACUGCUGCGCAUUGUACUUUGUACACUGAGUUGCAAAGACUCCAAAGCUGCGACUUACUGGAUGGGGCGCUAACGAGCGCGGCGAUAGCAGAAAUAAUAUAUUGCGUGAGACAGCUGUGGAUACUUCUAGCGAAGGUCGGAAAAAAUGUAUUGAAAAUUUGGCAUAUUCUUAAG